AUUGCUCCUACCCCUGGCUUGAUGACCACUGUGACCAGCCUCCGUUCCUGGCUUCACUUCCUGGCGAGCUCAAGAAGCAAACAUCUCCCUGCUGUGUCCUUAUAGGUUUUUGUCACCUGGUCAUGUCUACACUCAACUCAUGUCUGUUCUCCUGCCAGCUGCCUCCAGCCUGACAUACCCACCAUCUCCAGGUCUUCCAUGAAAAGGG
rnacentral:lncRNA from 1 species